rnacentral:rRNA from 1 species
GACGAACGCUGGCGGCGUGCUUAACACAUGCAAGUCGAACGGAAAGGCCCUGCUUUUGUGGGGUGCUCGAGUGGAGAACGGGUGAGUAACACGUGAGUAACCUGCACUUGCCUUUGGGAUAACUUCAGGAAACUGGGGCUCAUACCGGCUAGGAGCUACUGCUGCAUGGUGGGGGUUGGAUAGUUUCGGCGGUUGGGGAUGGACUCGCGGCUUAUCAGCUUGUUGGUGUGGUAGUGUCUUACCAAGGCUUUGAACGGUAGCCGGCCUGGUCGGGUGACCGGCCACAUUGGGAUGGAGAUACGGCCCAGACUCCUACGCUAGGCAGCGGAGGAGUAGAGUGCACAAGAGGCGGAGGCCUGAUGCAGCAAAGCCGCGUGCGGUAAGACGGGCAGCGGUUUGGAUUCCGAUGUCGCCUGUGACGAAGCGUUAGUGACGGUAAUGGGUAAAUAAGCACCGGCUAACUACGUG